GCCAUGUCAUCCAGCUAGGUGAUGGUUCUAGCCCUUUCUCUGUGGAACUAAUUCAGGAGGGUGCUUCCAUGGUCAACCACCCCAGCAGCUUAGAACUGGAAAGUGGUAAGGACUCCCAUACUCCACUCGAGGAAAGGAGGGUGACAAUGAGGUGGAGAGUCUAGAGGAAUGUCAUCACCAGAAACAGUGCAAUGGGUGACCAUGAAAUGUUAUUUUGAAAAGCAGACCAUACCAAGUUAUUCACUCUAGGCAUGGCUGGGAUGGGCAGCAAUCCCCUUCUGCUUUAUCCAUGCAGUCCAUGGAUGGUAUGGUCCACGAUGGGCAUGUUUAUGAAGCAGAAUAUCGCAAGGUGAGUCACCAGCAAGAGCUGUUGUGGAACACCCCAUCUCCACAGCGAGCAUGUGAAGCCAUGGAAAAUAAAGCUUGUCAAUGUGGCUGUACAGUGCAAAUUUAGAGUUAUAGAAUACCUGGUCAGGAACCACUCGCUACAGAGCAGGAUACAUCUAAUCAAAAUGGAGAUAAAGGCCCCUGAAAAUAAAAAUGAAUAAAACUUACCAGUUAAAGUCAUAUCAAAGUCUGGAGAAUGGCCACAGGUAGUAGACAAAACCCCAAUGAAGAGGAAAGUGCAACAUGAUAAAGUUAACAGGAGAUUAAUGUACAGGGAAUGGUCCACAUAUCAGACUGUAGAAUCUCCUCCAUUGGAGGAUGAAGACAAGAAGUGAGGGAAAAAGUGAGAUGUCGGAUCUGAUGGGAGGAGACCUGGGACAAGGUACGAGAAGAAGGUAGUAGGGAAGAGUAGGCCAAACAGACAAAACGGCAGACCCGAUUAGUAAGGGUAGAAGGUGAAAGAUCACUAAGGGAGGAAGAUUGCCAUGGGAUAAAAAGUCAGUUGCACAUUCCCACCAAAAGGUAGCUGUAAAUGCUACAUAACAACAAAGGGACCUGACCAGACACAGAAGCCAAUCUGGAUCCGGUUGAGGGUAAAGAUGGGAUACAGAAGGAAGGGAAAUAAAAGAAAAGGAUAAACAACCCUCCUGAGUUGCCGAGGUCUUAGGGAGAAAGGAACGAUUAGGUCAUAGGAGAGGAUAGGUAGGGUGAUAAAGGGUAUGUGAAAUAUCAAUGGCAAACAAAUCUGACCCUCAAUGUCUACAGGCUAAGAGAAGAAGGAAAUAUGUUUUAAGGGACAGAUGAAACAAGGAACAUGAGGAAAGUAGUACAAAUGGAGGUAAAUUAAAGGCAUGGAGGACCACAUUCAUGUUCCAAUCAGGAAGGGCAGGACACCUGAGAGAUUGAUAUAUCUGGAAGGAAUGCAUGAGCAUGGUAAGAACAAGGGAUGUAAAAAACCUACAGUAUUAGGAAAAAUGGAAGGUUUGGGAUAGGACCAUCUGAUAACCAGAAAGCAAGGAGACUGAAGAUCCAGGCCAGAAUGUACAUAAGUUAAUAAAGGAUGGUCUUGUCAUUCGCAAAUGUGUGGCUGUGCACUCUCAAACCAGAGUUAGAAAGAAUUUUGAAGUUCACUGCAAGGGCAGUCAUUGUGGUCCUGGUAAAAAGAAAGAUACCAUGAUCUGUACAUGCAGGCAAAAGGUAAUGUCUUCAAGAACAAAUGUGUUUUAAUGGAGUUCAUUCAUAAGAAGAAGCCAGAGAAAACCAGGAUGAAAAUGUUCAGUGAUCAAGCUGAGGCACAUAGGCAGAAGGUAAAAGAAGCCCAUAAAAGUGUGAAGACAGGAUCCAGCAAAAGAAGGCAGAAUUAUUAUAUGCUUUCCAGAAAGAAGAAGAGGCAACCAAGAAAUAAAUUGAUUCUUUGUAUGGUGAUGUUAUAAGAGAUAUAAUCAAUUUCAUUUGAAUUUUAAGUUGUGCUCUAUUUAUAAAUGUUUAUGCUUUUGCAUUUCUAAGAAGUGAUACUCUAGAAUAUUUAAAAUAAAAUGUGUCCAAUAUA
rnacentral:lncRNA from 1 species